rnacentral:rRNA from 1 species
UGGCGUCGAGCGGCGGACGGGUGAGUAAUGCUUAGGAAUUUGCCCAGUUGAGGGGGAUAACCAUUGGAAACGAUGGCUAAUACCGCAUACGCCCUACGGGGGAAAGGAGGGGACCUUCGGGCCUUCCGCGAUUGGAUAAGCCUAAGUGAGAUUAGCUAGUUGGUGGGGUAAUGGCUCACCAAGGCGACGAUCUCUAGCUGGUCUGAGAGGAUGAUCAGCCACACUGGAACUGAGACACGGUCCAGACUCCUACGGGAGGCAGCAGUGGGGAAUAUUGCACAAUGGGCGAAAGCCUGAUGCAGCCAUGCCGCGUGUAUGAAGAAGGCCUUCGGGUUGUAAAGUACUUUCAGUCGUGAGGAAGGUGUUGUACUUAAUACGUGCAACAUUUGACGUUAGCGACAGAAGAAGCACCGGCUAACUCCGUGCCAGCAGCCGCGGUAAUACGGAGGGUGCGAGCGUUAAUCGGAAUUACUGGGCGUAAAGCGCAUGCAGGUGGUUUGUUAAGUCAGAUGUGAAAGCCCGGGGCUCAACCCCGGAAGGUCAUUUGAAACUGGCAAACUAGAGUACUGUAGAGGGGGGUAGAAUUUCAGGUGUAGCGGUGAAAUGCGUAGAGAUCUGAAGGAAUACCAGUGGCGAAGGCGGCCCCCUGGACAGAUACUGACACUCAGAUGCGAAAGCGUGGGGAGCAAACAGGAUUAGAUACCCUGGUAGUCCACGCCGUAAACGAUGUCUACUUGGAGGUUGCGGUCUUGAACUGUGGCUUUCGGAGCUAACGCGUUAAGUAGACCGCCUGGGGAGUACGGUCGCAAGAUUAAAACUCAAAUGAAUUGACGGGGGCCCGCACAAGCGGUGGAGCAUGUGGUUUAAUUCGAUGCAACGCGAAGAACCUUACCUACUCUUGACAUCCUCA